AUUGAACGCUGGCGGCAUGCUUUACACAUGCAAGUCGAACGGUAACAGGUUAAGCUGACGAGUGGCGAACGGGUGAGUAAUGCAUCGGAACGUGCCCGAUCGUGGGGGAUAACGCAGCGAAAGCUGCGCUAAUACCGCAUACGAUCUGAGGAUGAAAGCGGGGGACCGUAAGGCCUCGCGCGAUCGGAGCGGCCGAUGUCAGAUUAGGUAGUUGGUGGGGUAAAGGCUCACCAAGCCGACGAUCUGUAGCUGGUCUGAGAGGACGACCAGCCACAGUGGGACUGCGACACGGCCCAGACUCCGACGGGAGGCAGCAGUGGGGAAUUUUGGACAAUGGGCGAAAGCCUGAUCCAGCAAUGCCGCGUGCAGGAAGAAGGCCUUCGGGUUGUAAACUGCUUUUGUACGGAGCGAAAAGGCUCUCUCUAAUACAGGGGGCUCAUGACGGUACCGUAAGAAUAAGCACCGGCUAACUACGUGCCAGCAGCCGCCGUAA
rnacentral:rRNA from 1 species